UGCGUAGGCGGCUUUCUAAGUCGGAUGUGAAAACUCUGGGCUCAACCCAGAGCCUGCAUCUGAAACUGGAGAGCUAGGGUUCUGGAGGGGAAAGCGGAAUUCCUGGUGUAGCGGUGAAACGCGUAGAUAUCAGGAGGAACACCGGUGGCGAAGGCGGCUUUCUGGACAGAUACCGACGCUGAGGCACGAAAGCUAGGGAGCAAACA
rnacentral:rRNA from 1 species